UAGAGGUGUGUUGACAGAAGUCACCAACCUGUCAUUUUGCAUGCCUAGCUAAGCUGCAGAAGCUGUCACCCGCUGCAUAGUUGUAGUAGGAGGUGAGGUAGAACUGUGAGAUAGGGGUGUGUUGACAGAAGUCCCCGUCCUGUCCUCACAGACUGUGUAGCGAGUGGAGGCUGUUUUAAAUGUUGAUAGUUUUGCAGCAUAGGAGAAGCGUUACUUCCAGUAAGUGAAGAGUGAAAACAGAAUUCAUGACCUGUCACCUUUUUGUGCUGACGACACAGACCAUCCAUCGCCCAUUUUUCUUCCGGAAGCCGCCUCACAAGGAGCCCACAGAGACACGUGUGGCAAGAAAACUUUCCUAGAAUUGUCCUUUUGGACGUGGUGAAGGGAAGAAGGUGCACACAGAGGAAGGAGACAAAUUCCUGCAGAGAGAAUAGCUUCCUGAGGCAGGGCCAUUUGGAAUGCAGACUCAAGGCCACAUCACACCUCAUCACACCAACUGUCUGGAUUCUGCUGUUGUCCCAGUCAAGAGGCCUCACCUUGACUUUCUGUGGAGUCCUGUUUCUCCCCCAAGUAUGUUUCCACAGGGUUUGUGCUCAUGCAUACUAAUUCAAAGGCAAAGAAGACAAAUUGGACUGGAUAGGACCCUGUAACCUGGACGUGAGAACGACCUGACAACCAGCCUGAUUAUCCAGAAAGACGAGGGAAAGAGGCAAGUUUGCAAAAACUCCUCCUAGCCUUUUUUAUGGAUUUACCUGCACAAAGAUAUAGGAAAACAUCGGGUUAGACAACCACAGAGUAUCCCACUAAAUAUCUAGUAGAUCUGAGCCUAAUUGAAAAGUAAUAUGCAUAAAGUUCAACCGUUUUUUUUUUGGUUUCUUCACACAAAGAACUACUGCACCAAUUUUGAAAA